rnacentral:rRNA from 1 species
GACGAACGCUGGCGGCGUGCUUAACACAUGCAAGUCGAGCGGAAAGGCCCUUUCGGGGGUACUCGAGCGGCGAACGGGUGAGUAACACGUGAGUAAUCUGCCCUUGGCUUUGGGAUAACUACCGGAAACGGUGGCUAAUACCGGAUACGACCAUGCUCGGCAUCGGGUGUGGUGGAAAGUUUUUUCGGCCAGGGAUGUGCUCGCGGCCUAUCAGCUUGUUGGUGGGGUAAUGGCCUACCAAGGCUUCGACGGGUAGCCGGCCUGAGAGGGUGACCGGCCACACUGGGACUGAGACACGGCCCAGACUCCUACGGGAGGCAGCAGUGGGGAAUAUUGGACAAUGGGCGGAAGCCUGAUCCAGCAACGCCGCGUGAGGGAUGACGGCCUUGGUUGUGAACCUCUUUCAGUACCGACGAAGCGCCGAUGAUGGUGGUGACGGUAGGUACGAGAAGAAG